rnacentral:rRNA from 1 species
AAGGAAUAUUGGUCAAUGGACGCAAGUCUGAACCAGCCAUGCCGCGUGAAGGAUGAAGGUCCUCUGGAUUGUAAACUUCUUUUAUCUGGGACGAAAACGGGAUUUUUAUCCCAAUUGACGGUACCAGAGGAAUAAGCACCGGCUAACUCCGUGCCAGCAGCCGCGGUAAUACGGAGGGUGCGAGCGUUAUCCGGAUUUACUGGGUUUAAAGGGUGCGUAGGUGGGCUUAUAAGUCAGUGGUGAAAUCUCCGAGCUUAACUUGGAAACUGCCGUUGAUACUAUAGGUCUUGAAUUAUCUGGAGGUAAGCGGAAUAUGUCAUGUAGCGGUGAAAUGCUUAGAUAUGACAUAGAACACCCAUUGCGAAGGCAGCUUACUACAUGUAAAUUGACGCUGAGGCACGAAAGCGUGGGGA